rnacentral:rRNA from 1 species
UUGAAAGGGAAACGAUUGAAGUCAGUCGGACCGACGAGAAAUCAACUUAUCGUGUGCGNNNUUGUGGGCGUGCGUGAGUUUCGGCCUCGCUGUUUGCAUGUUUGUGUGCUUUGGGUGUACUUUUUCGUAUGGUAGGCCAACGUCAGUUUCGAUCACUAUAAAAUGACUGGCGGAAUGUAGCUUCGAUUUCGGUUGAAGUGUUAUAGCCUCUGGUAGAUGUGGUGAUUGGGACUGAGGAUUGCAACGAAUAUCCUUUGGGCUAUCCGUCUGAUCUCUGAAAGUUGCUCAGGUGCCGAAAGCGUGCUUAUGGUUAUCUAAGUUAACGGUCAAUAGGUUAGAACGUGAUUACAUUCGUUAAGGAUGUUGACGUA